rnacentral:sRNA from 1 species
ACACGAGAAGGGAGGUGGUUCGGCAGAUGUCAGAAAUCCGGACGCGUGAGGUGACUGCGGGCUAGCAGUCCGUCGUCGCGCUCUGCGCACCGCCGGACCAGCACGUGAGAGAUGCGUGCAGCCGGCCCAAUUCCCAGCAGUCACCCGACCCGCGAGCCGCCGGUACGUCCGACCGGCCCCCUUGCCGCCGAGCCGUUGGCCCGGCGCGGGGGGAAGAGGCUCGCGGGUCGUCUGCG